AUUCACUAACAUUUGCCACAUUUUUUUCCACCUUAUACAACAACUUUCACUUCCAUACACCUAAUUUUCCAAUACAACUUUCACUGUAAAUUUUCCAUUCUCCCUCACAUCCACGAUCCAUAAACUAACCAUUUCCAGUUUCUUCUUAACACUAACUUCUCCCAUAAAAAACAAUUUUUAACUAACUUGUUCACAACCACUCACGUACUUACAGUAGCCAAAACCUAUUCUCGUUCACCAACAAUAUUCUAAGAAUUCUCCACUUUCAAACCAAGCCACUCGAAACCGCCACGAGACACAACAUCACCACCAGAUCCGUCGUAUCCAUCAUCGCUCCCAGGAGCUUCAAACUCAGCCACGAUCUCCCUUUGACUAGAAGCACAAAUCGAAGGUCUUGGCAGAAGAUGCAACUCUCAAGCCAUUCAAAUAAUAUAAGCAUAGUGUAAAAAAAUUUCAGGAAAAUUGGGGAUGUUUUAACUAUUGUUGUAACUGCAGGAUACCUUAGUUUGUUCUGUGGAGACACAACGUCCAUCUCCAGAUUCAACUUCUUCUUUCUUCCAAAUCCAGCUUCUCCGAAUUUCUCCUCAGAACUUAGUGCUGGUUAUAUGACGAUGGUGGCCGCUGGAAAACUAGGGAGACGAGGAAGGAAAGCAUGGAUACCUCAUACAUCUUUUUCAUUCAAGUGGAUACACAAGCAAUUCUACCUCUAACAAAAGGUGUAGAAAGAAAAAGCUAAAAGGUGCUUUGAUUGGUUCUAGCUUUCUUUUUCUAUUUUUCCAACGUAGCUACCUCAUUUACUUCAAAAUAUUAGAAUUCUACUAUUCAACUGAACCACUUAAACUUGGGAUGGAUUUCUACACUAACAUCAUUAAUGUUGUCCUAAAUGGCUGAUGCACCUAUAAUCCCUGACAUAGUUCUCCCUUCAUCCACCGGACAAUGGAAAAUGCCGGUAAUGGACCUCGGCACCGCACCGGAAGCAACCAGUAAGGUUACUACAAAAUAUGUUGUCCUUGAAGCAAUCAAACAAGGUUACAUACAUUUUGAUGUUGCUGCUGCAUAUGGUGUUGAACAUUUUGUUGGUUAUUGAUAAUCAUCCUUACCUCAAUGUUCCUGCUGCAUCUAUAAAAGAACUCUUUGUGACUUCUAAAUUGUGGGCUACUGAUAAUCAUCCUCACCUCAUUGUUCCUGCUAUCAAGAAAUCUAAAGUGAUGGUAUUGUUGUAAAAGGACAAGCUUACGGAGUUCGUAGUAUUUUUGUAGAUGGGAAUGACGAUCUAGCCAUUUAUAGUGCUGUUCAAGCUGCUCGUCAAAUGGCAGGUGGCAAAAAGAGACAAAUUUUAAUAUAAACUAAAAUAAUAAUAACCUUUGAGACCAUUUAUAGAGCAUGACACCACUCCACAUCAGAUGACUAUACCAAGUAUCGUCCUACCAAAGAUAAUGAUUGGUGGCGAUCGGCAUGUAAUCUUGUGGCGAGAUUUAGAAAGUGGAUAGAAAGGAAUGGGUGGUGGAAUAACAUUGCUAAGUCAGCUUCAAAAUAUUUUGAGACAACAGAUAAACUAUAGUCAUGACUUGAAACAUUGUUGUACUUCUUUUUUACAUGUCAACAAUACCUUUAGUAAGUUGUUCUCAAAUGUGCAUUGAAGAUAAAUUGCUAUGCCACUGGAGUUAAUUCUGUACACUGAAUGAGACAAGUGCAAUAAUAGUUUAUGUUGUCCUUUUCCUCAAGUUAACAUUAAUGCUAAUUCUAGAGACUUAGUAGUUCAUAUUUAACUUUACAACUUAUAUACUUUUAAAACCUUAUUUGAUAUUAAAAUAAUUUAUUAAAAUAUUAAUAAUAAUAAUUAUAUUUUCCCUUCUAUCAAUUGUUUUAACUGUAAUGCAGUAGGGUUUCUUUAUGGCAGAGGUGCAAUGUUUGGCACUGAAAACGGAAGCAUGAACCUUGAAGUUUAGAGGAACCAGAAGUUAUUGGGUAUGUUUGUAUGCAUGUGAGGUUUGAAGUAUAUAUGGUUUUGUUAUGGAAUGACUUGAAGUGUGAAACUCAGAUAUGUUGGUACAAAUUUUUAUUGGUGUGAUUUGAAUUGACUUUUGAAAUAGUUUUAGAAAUGAUUCUGUUAGUGAAAUGGACAUGGUUUGGGAGUGUUGAUUAAAUGUAUGUACAUUGAGAAUAGCUUGGAGUAUGAUUUAGUGGUGAAUGUAUUGUCUUUGGCUCUGUUUUGUAUUUAUGGAUUUCAAGUUUAGGAACUUUGGAAUCAAUGUAGUUUUUUAGUAUGUGAUAUCUAUGAACCAAUUGAAAUGUGUAUGUGAAUGUUGUCCCAUUGUCAUGGAAUAAACUUAUAUGGUUUUGCAUAAUGUGUUGUUCUAAACUGUACGACUUAAAUGCAAUUUAUGAAGUGGCUUUUUCUUUUGAAUCAAUUUUCUGUUGCAGGAUUUUGUGAACCGGUUUGGUAUGGCAUAACAAGGUAAGUAUGUAUUGAAUGAACAGGCUUGGUGUAUUGAAGUUAUGUAAUUUUUAUGGUAAACUUGACUUUUACUGUGAUGACAUUAUGUGGUUUGAGUUGGAAAUGUUUGACAGUUAGGUUAUGUGUUGUAGGUGCAAGUUCUUGGCAUGGUAUUUACUUGAUGAUAAUGAUGCCUAUUAUUUUCUUCUUGCUAUGGCUAAAAACUAUUGCAGGCAAUAUUUUCACUCUGAAGCAACAGUGAGAUAUUUGUUUUUUUGGAUGGCCCUUAUAACUUGGGAAUAUUACCAAUCUUCCAUAUUACAUAUCCUUUUAUUAAUUAAUAUUAUCAUCUAAAAUAUAGCUAUCUAUGAUAUCAGUCAAGUUGUUUACUUUGUAUCUCCAUGCAGAUUGGUAUAAUAGAUGAUUUUGACUAUUUGAUGAUGGCACCUCUUCCAUCCAAAGCAGCAGCUGAAUGAAUAUUAUUUAUCCAUUAAUACUCUUACCAUUUUCAUGCUAGAACUAUGUAAAUAGUAGUAACUGAAGACAUGAAAACCACUAUUUUAUUUAAUUCUCUACUCAUGUUGGCAAUGUUGUCUGUUGAUGAUUUUGAACUUAAAUAAAGAGUUUAUGAUUUGAGCA